CCUACGGGGGGCAGCAGUAGGGAAUAUUGCUCAAUGGGGGAAACCCUGAAGCAGCAACGCCGCGUGGAGGAUGAAGGUUUUCGGAUUGUAAACUCCUUUUGUUAGAGAAGAUAAUGACGGUAUCUAACGAAUAAGCACCGGCUAACUCGGUGCCAGCAGCCGCGGUAAUACGGAGGGUGCAAGCGUUACUCGGAAUCACUGGGCGUAAAGAGCGCGUAGGCGGGGUAGCAAGUCAGAUGUGAAAUCCUAUGGCUUAACCAUAGAACUGCAUUUGAAACUGUUAUUCUAGAGUAUGGGAGAGGUAGGUGGAAUUCUUGGUGUAGGGGUAAAAUGCGUAGAGAUCAAGAGGAAUACUCAGUGCGAAGGCGACCUGCUAGAACAUAACUGACGCUGAUGCGCGAAAGCGUGGGGAGCAAACAGGAUUAGAUACCCUUGUAGUC
rnacentral:rRNA from 1 species